AACGAACGCUGGCGGCAUGCCUAAUACAUGCAAGUCGAACGAUCACUUCGGUGGUAGUGGCGCACGGGUGCGUAACGCGUGGGAAUCUGCCCUUGGGUUCGGAAUAACGUCGGGAAACUGACGCUAAUACCGGAUGAUGACGUAAGUCCAAAGAGUUAUCGCCCUGGGAUGAGCCCGCGUAGGAUUAGCUAGUUGGUGGGGUAAGGGCCUACCAAGGCGACGAUCCUUAGCUGGUCUGAGGGGAUGAUCAGCCACACUGGGACUGAGACACGGCCCAGACUCCUACGGGAGGCAGCAGUAGGGAAUAUUGGACAAUGGGGGCAACCCUGAUCCAGCAAUGCCGCGUGAGUGAUGAAGGCCUUAGGGUUGUAAAGCUCUUUUACCCGGGAUGAUAAUGACAGUACCGGGAGAAUAAGCCCCGGCUGACUCCGUGCCAGCCGCCGCGGUAA
rnacentral:rRNA from 1 species